AACGUAGGAGGCGAGCGUUAUCCGGAUUUACUGGGUGUAAAGCGCGUGCAGGCGGCUGACCAAGUGGCGUGUGAAAGCGCCCGGCUCAACCGGGCGAGGACAGGUCAGACUGGGCAGCUGGAGCGAGGUAGAGGCGUGUGGAAUUCCGGGUGUAGUGGUGAAAUGCGUAGAGAUCCGGAGGAACACCAGAGGCGAAGGCGACACGCUGGGCCUUUUAGCUGACGCUGAGACGCGAAAGCAUGGGGAGCGAACGGG
rnacentral:rRNA from 1 species